CAACCACAUCAUGUUGAAACACAGGCUCCCAUAUAAUCACCAAAGUUAAGAAACAUUGAGCCUGAUCAGUACCUAGAUGGGUGAUUGCUUGGGAACACCAGGUGAUGUAAG